GGGGUUGUGGCUCAGUGAGAGAGCUUUUGCCUCAAAUGCAUGAGGCAUUGGGUUUGAUCCUCAGCACCUCA
rnacentral:tRNA from 1 species